rnacentral:rRNA from 1 species
GGGUCAGUAGGUUGGUCGUGCCACCGGUACGUACUGGUCUCACUGAUUCCUCCUUCCUGAAGAGCCGUAAUGCCAUUAAUUUGGUGUUGCGGGGAAACAGGACUGUUACUUUGAAAAAAUUAGUGUGUUUAAAGCAAGCUAACGCUUGAAUACAUUAGCAUGGAAUAAUGAAAUAGGACGAUCGAUCCUAUUUUGUUGGUUUCUAGGAUUGACGUA